rnacentral:rRNA from 1 species
GAAAUUCUAAUCUUAUUAUUAAUAAUAAAAGAAACUUAAAAAUUAUGGCGGUUGAAUUUUAAUUUUAGAGGAGUUUGUCCCUCAGAAUUUACCCUAUAUAUUUUUAAAAUCUUAAACUUAUUAAUCUCCGUUAAUAGAUACUUCACCAAAAGCCUAACUUACCUUCUAUUUCAGGUCAAGAUGUAGUAAUAAAUUUUCAAUGAUUAACUACAUUUAUAUAAUCAAUGAAAGAUUUCAUUUAAAAGCCUUCCAAAUUUGAAUUUAAUUGUAAUCUAUUUUACCAUAAAUUUAUGAAACCUUAAGUUCA